AUUGAACGCUGGCGGCAGGCCUAACACAUGCAAGUCGAGCGGUAGCACAGAGAGCUUGCUCUCGGGUGACGAGCGGCGGACGGGUGAGUAAUGUCUGGGAAACUGCCUGAUGGAGGGGGAUAACUACUGGAAACGGUAGCUAAUACCGCAUAACGUCGCAAGACCAAAGUGGGGGACCUUCGGGCCUCAUGCCAUCAGAUGUGCCCAGAUGGGAUUAGCUAGUAGGUGGGGUAAUGGCUCACCUAGGCGACGAUCCCUAGCUGGUCUGAGAGGAUGACCAGCCACACUGGAACUGAGACACGGUCCAGACUCCUACGGGAGGCAGCAGUGGGGAAUAUUGCACAAUGGGCGCAAGCCUGAUGCAGCCAUGCCGCGUGUGUGAAGAAGGCCUUCGGGUUGUAAAGCACUUUCAGCGGGGAGGAAGGCGAUAAGGUUAAUAACCUCAUCGAUUGACGUUACCCGCAGAAGAAGCACCGGCUAACUCCGUGCCAGCAGCCGCGGUAAUACGGAGGGUGCAAGCGUUAAUCGGAAUUACUGGGCGUAAAGCGCACGCAGGCGGUCUGUCAAGUCGGAUGUGAAAUCCCCGGGCUCAACCUGGGAACUGCAUUCGAAACUGGCAGGCUAGAGUCUUGUAGAGGGGGGUAGAAUUCCAGGUGUAGCGGUGAAAUGCGUAGAGAUCUGGAGGAAUACCGGUGGCGAAGGCGGCCCCCUGGACAAAGACUGACGCUCAGGUGCGAAAGCGUGGGGAGCAAACAGGAUUAGAUACCCUGGUAGUCCACGCCGUAAACGAUGUCGAUUUGGAGGUUGUGCCCUUGAGGCGUGGCUUCCGGAGCUAACGCGUUAAAUCGACCGCCUGGGGAGUACGGCCGCAAGGUUAAAACUCAAAUGAAUUGACGGGGGCCCGCACAAGCGGUGGAGCAUGUGGUUUAAUUCGAUGCAACGCGAAGAACCUUACCUGGUCUUGACAUCCACAGAACUUUCCAGAGAUGGAUUGGUGCCUUCGGGAACUGUGAGACAGGUGCUGCAUGGCUGUCGUCAGCUCGUGCUGUGAAAUGUUGGGUUAAGUCCCGCAACGAGCGCAACCCUUAUCCUUUGUUGCCAGCGGUCCGGCCGGGAACUCAAAGGAGACUGCCAGUGAUAAACUGGAGGAAGGUGGGGAUGACGUCAAGUCAUCAUGGCCCUUACGACCAGGGCUACACACGUGCUACAAUGGCAUAUACAAAGAGAAGCGACCUCGCGAGAGCAAGCGGACCUCAUAAAGUAUGUCGUAGUCCGGAUUGGAGUCUGCAACUCGACUCCAUGAAGUCGGAAUCGCUAGUAAUCGUAGAUCAGAAUGCUACGGUGAAUACGUUCCCGGGCCU
rnacentral:rRNA from 1 species